AAGUAAAGUAAAUAAAAAGGAAAUAAAGGAAAGAAACAAAAGAAUAAAAAGAAGGAAGGAAACAGAAUAGCAGGAAACGAAACAGAGAAGAAACAGGGGAGAAAGAAAGAAAGAAAAGAAAAAGGGAAAAUAGGGUUUUAAAGGUUCCAAGUUAAUUUGUUAACAAAGAACCCAAGACAUCGGCGCACAAAGGAAAG